UGAGGAAUAUUGGUCAAUGGGCGAGAGCCUGAACCAGCCAAGUCGCGUGAAGGAAGACAGUCCUAAGGAUUGUAAACUUCUUUUAUACGGGAAUAACGGGCGAUACGAGUAUUGCAUUGAAUGUACCGUAAGAAUAAGCAUCGGCUAACUCCGUGCCAGCAGCCGCGGUAAUACGGAGGAUGCGAGCGUUAUCCGGAUUUAUUGGGUUUAAAGGGUGCGUAGGUUGUUCGGUAAGUCAGCGGUGAAACCUGAGCGCUCAACGUUCAGCCUGCCGUUGAAACUGCCGGGCUUGAGUUCAGUGGCGGCAGGCGGAAUUCGUGGUGUAGCGGUGAAAUGCAUAGAUAUCACGAAGAACUCCGAUUGCGAAGGCAGCUUGCCAUACUGCGACUGACACUGAAGCACGAAGGCGUGGGUAUCAAACAGG
rnacentral:rRNA from 1 species